CACCUAUCGCUACGUAUCGAAUCAUAUAUGCGUGAACCAAUCACAGGCAUCACAGGCAUUCAGCGUCGUUCAGCGUCGGUUGGAAGGAUAAAUGGGAAGAACGAAAGCAUGCUCUGCCCAUGGGUGCGUGUCAUCCAUUAGCAAAGAAAUGAAAUUCUUCCACUUUCCCAGGGAUUCAGCACGUGUGUGUGCAUUUCAUGUCAAAUAUUAUUUGAUGAAGUUUGAUGCUAAUGUGGGUCAUUGGGCUGUAUGUGUUAUUAAACUCUCAUAUGAAACGCCAUUUCGAUUAUGCAGCAUUGAGGAUGAUAGGAGAAACUAGUUAGAUGACUUAUUACACACAUCAAAGCAAAAUGGCCAUUCCCCGGUAUGUAUGAAUUGAUGCCUCAUCACAUCACUCUGCUGGCUGAAUGACUUAUUACACACAUCCCAGCAAAAUGGCCGCUCUUCAGUAUGUAUGCGCUGAUGACUUUUCACAUCACUCUGCUGGCUGACUGACCUAAUACACACAUCACAGCAAACUUGAGGCAAAAGUUUUAUCUUAGUAUAUGACAUGAUGCGUUGCACCAAUAAGGAUCCAUAUCGCUAUUUUAAUGACUAUAUGUAUUCCUGUGUAUAACUGCCUGAUGCUGGUCUUAUACAACUGAAACAUGCCAUAGGUCAACAACAACAACAACACAGCUGUGAAACUCUGAUAUGCCAACAUCAUCAAACCAUACUAACGUUUCUGUUCACUGUUGCCUUGGCAAGCACACGGUGGCAGGUUCACGAACUUUAUUGUCAGAACUUGUGUGCCUCGUCUUAG